CAUCCUUUCUCUCCUCUCUCUCUCUAGACGCCGUAAUAUCUCUCUCCCAUCUCCAGUCUCGUCCUCGCUCCGGCGAAUACCAUAGCAGCUGGCGACGCUCUCUUUCCCCUCGCCUCUUCUCCUCCCUCCUCCCUUCUCUCUUUUCUCUGCCAUGACAGCAGCGCCAGGCAAGGCCACUAGCAAAGGCAAACGACGACAACAUCAGCGACCGACAAGAGCUCGGGCUGAAGCAGCAACAGUAGCCGCCGGAAACAGCAGCGCCACUGGUUGCCUGCUUCUCCAGCGUAGACAACAAAAGCAAACGCUAGCAAGCGAUGACCCUAGCGCCUCCAUCUGUUCUUUUUCUUUUCCAGCAGUUCCGGCGAUAACCAACAACAGUUGCAAUGGCGAGUAACAACAAGAUCUGCUCGUCCCUUACUUUUCUCCGCCCAGUUUAAAUCAAACAUCAGCUGCUGCUCUGGUCACCAGUGGAGAGCAUCCGGGUUCGUGAUAAGUGUUGGAGUUUUAAGAGUCGCCGUGAGAAGGGAUGCUUAGAUAGAGCAUUUAUUUAAUUUAUUUCAAUGUUUGUAUUUUUAAUUAACUGUUCGUUUGUAAUAAUAUUGUAGUAACUCGCUAACUCUAAAACUCUAUAUAUGAAAUAUAUUUUGGGGAUUGUAUAAGGGGGAGGGGGCUUUACGUGCUACUUGUUACUUUAUCGUGAUUUACUUGGAUUAGAAA